GGUUCUGGGCACUGUAAGCUAUAUAUCAAUUUUAAUUCUAAAAUACUAAACUUGUCAUGUUCUGAUGCAUGUAUUCUAACAGUAACUGACAAAGAUAUGUCCUUUGCAAAGCAAUAAAGCCCUCCUCACUGAGUCAAAUCUCAUGGUGAAGAGAAUUCUCUCCCUGACAUGUAAAUGGUGUAAACUUUAAUGUGCUGUGCCACCGACCCUGAGUUCAAACGUGUGAACUCUGAACAGGAAGCAAAAUGAAGUGCAAAGUGAACGCUUAUCAAUCUUCCCAGGGCCAAUUGGGUUACAUUAAAACUAAGUCUGGCUGAUGUCACUGAUUCUCCUGUAUUUGGUGUGGUCACUCGAAAGCAUUAGCAUUAGCUCGCAGUACUGUUUUUAUUUGUGUGUGUGUGUGUGUGUGUGGGGGGGUAUGUUUGUAAGAUUCAUUUGAAUCACUUUUUAUUUCAUUCAUAUUGUAUUUUUUUUUAUUUGUGUUGUUUAUUUUCAUUUGCAGUGGCGUAUAACCGGAGACAUCUGACUGGCACAAAUCAUGGUGCUAGCAGAUUAGCAUAGACAAUAUUGAAUGACGGCAGGCUGCGUACAUUUUUACUUUACUAAAAGAUGAUGGACGCCAACCGUUUUUAAUUACCAUUAACUACCAAGUCCAUCAUUAAUUUAAAGUGUAGUUUAGCUGUGACAGCUUUACUAUCAUCUGUCAUUUCCCAUUUGGAGACUUUACAAGAUAAAGUAACUUUUCGGACCUCCUGCUAGCUUCUUUGCUCAAGAGCAGAACAGAACAGAAAUGUCUGCAUGUGCUUUUGGACCCGAGGGAAUAAUCUUAUCAGCAUUUCUUUAAAGGAAAAGCAGUUUAUGUGAAUGCUUUUACUUAUGCUGCUUGCUAAUCACAUCCAAACUGUGGCCCUCGUUCACUAUAUUACCAAUCUUAUGCAUGCUGGGACGCUCGGUGCAAAUACAUAUAAAUGCUAAUUCAUACAUGGCUUGAAACAUUUAUUUUGGUUUCCUUCAGCGAACCACAUUUGCUUAUUGUUAUGAUGGGCUGUGUAUAAUUUAGUAUUUAGAAGAAAAAAAGAUCCUUACUUUACAACAUUUGACUUUGGAUUAAUUUGUAUCGUCACAAUAAAAAUCAGGAUUGUGGCAAAAUCCUGCAAUUAAUAACAUAAUAAAUAUGAUUCCAUUUUUACAAUUCAAAAGAGGGAUAUUUGAGCGUUUAUUAUUUCAGUGAAUUGCGCAAUAUAUGAAAAUCUGGUGAUUGUAAGACCUUCAAAACUAAAAAAGCUUUCAAAUAUCUGAUUACAAACUAUUUUAAUUCUAAUUUAAUUCAAGUUGUAUUUAUAUAGCGUAAAAUCAAAAUGUGUCAUCAGGGGGCUUUGCAAUGUGUACAGCAUCCUCGGUCUUGGAUGACUGUAGAGGUUGUUAAAUGUAGAUUGACAUUCUGUAGUACAUUAGUUUCUAGAUCUAUGUUAAAAGGGUGAUAAAAAAAGGUUUUGAUUGAAAGUGAGCAGCCCAGAAUCAUUUGUAUGACCAGAAUAUAGCACAAUGUAAACAAGCAUGGCCUCUUUACCUGUCACUUUGAGUUGUUCUCUGCAACCAAGCUCCCUGUGGGGAACCUACCCGCAUGCUUCCUGCAUGUUGGACCAUCAUUGUCUCCACUCUUCAAACCCACAUGGCCACGUGGAUGGAAAAGCUUCUUAAAAACGCUAUAGGACACUUAUUGGUUGGCAUAAAUAACACUACAAUUUCUGAGGAAUCUGAGAAAAACAAAUUCUUUUUAAUAAUAGCCCUCUAAUUAAGACUAUCAUGACCUGGUGAGUAGAUUAUCUUGGCGUGAAGGUGAUCAGCUGCUGAAGAAAAGGUACAGAUUGACACAAGGACCAAUAGAGCAUAACAUAGAUCCUAAACAAACCGUCCUACUGCAUAUAGAUCAAUGUGUAACUGUCAACGAAGAGUUCAAUCUUUGAACUAUAUUGAAUUACACAAUUGCCUAAAACCCCAAAUCAGGUUCACUUACAGACCACAUGAGGAUAAUUUGAUGUUUGCCUUUUUUUCCCCUCCUGUAGUCACCUCCAGGAGUCCCGUAAACCGAGACAGUUCUGUUACCCUUAAGCAUCAGUGUGUCAGGGCCUGUACAUAUAGUCAAAUGUCGCAGGCAAUGCCGGAUGUGCUGGCUGAUCUCAGCUCAACCGGCUGCUGGGGAUAUGUGUUUGAAUCAGGAACGUGGUUACGAUAUCUCCUGGUUCCACUUUAAUUCCAUCCUCCAUAAUUAUCCUUCAAGAAACACAUGUGUCAGUUGCCAUGCUCUGCUACUUUAGGUUUCUGUCAUUUUACAAGGCAGUUAAUACAACAGUACCUGUAGAGAGGAGCAGAAGAAGCAGGGAUCUACUUACCUAAACAUUUCAGGCUCACUUUCAUUUCAAUUAGCGCACAUUAAUUCAGAGCGUGAGAAGAUGUAUGUCAGCUCCGUAGUUUUAAGGGUGCAGCUUAUUUGCAUUGGUCUCACUGCACUCAUUCCUCUCUGACUGCGCUAGUAUUUUAUGACUCAGUUGCAUGUGUUUCAUUAAUUCCGUUUUAAUUCUUGAAGCAUUAAAUAAUCAUAUCGUCACAUAAUGUUUCUGUCAUUUUUAAUUGCAACAAAAUUUGAAACUUGUGGAAACUUCCAGUUGUCAGGGAUUAGAAUUACUAAUAAUUUCUCAAACGCGGGAGAAUAAUAGGCCACUAAUACCUGACAUAUGAAAUCGAACCUGAAACGUGUCCUCAGUCCAGACUUCCUACCAGGACACCUGAUGGACCGUGAGUGUCCUCCGAGGCGUGUGCACGCGGGGCUGGAGAGCCUCCGUCUCCGGCCUGCAGGUAGCAUUCCGGCUCCUCUGCGGCGCAGAAACUGCAGCUUCUAAUUCAAUUUCUGCACGAUGUCAACACAUCUGUAAACACACAGGAGAUUAUUUUGCAGUUUUUAAAAAAGUGGUUCAACGAAAAUACAAAAUAGGGUGCCCUGUAUGGCGUUAAAAAGCCGAUGCUUUUAAUAUUAUUUCAUGAUUAACGCUGUGCUGAGAACUUCCAGAGCACAAGCCACACACGUUUUACAAGAGUAAUCCCUCUCUUUUAUUUGAUGCCGCGGGAUAACAUGUUCACACUUCAGCUUCCAACGAUUUUACUGCUCGAAAAUACUUUAAUCUCAUUUCAAAAUUGAAGGAUUUCUGCAAAUCCGUAUAGAAAAUACACCUCGAAUAAAUAUGCACAGUGAGGUAGGGUAAUACGGAAAUUUAACAAUUUAUUUUCAUAAACUGAAAUAAAAUAUAAAAUGUACGAUUUUGCGGAGUCCUUUUUGCUUUAGCAGAAAUGUGUUUUAGUUUUAUGAAUCCGUUUUCCGUGUUUUGGGGGAUCCACAACAUGUAUAGAGGCCGCUUUCAGCCGUGACUGUCAGGUAUUGUUCACAAAAUGACUCUGGGAUCGAUUUGUUUUCAUUUGAUCCGAAUGUGAUGAGUGCACGUAGAAAGAAACGCGAAAAUACUCGCGUGUCUCUAUUGGGGAUUUCAGAGGUCUUAUAGAGCACCACAGGCUGCAUCUCUGUGGAUAUGACCUUUGGGCUCAAAGGCACAACGGUAACGUCCCUCCAGCCAGCUAAUGACAACAGAGGGAUUUUUCUAUGAAUGCUUUUGGGAACAUUUGAGCCACCGAAGGAUAUGUCUCUGUGAUCUAUUUGGAGGCGCGCGUCACAGUAGAACAUACCUAUGUUCGCUGUACACGUGCGCAUGCACAUUUCGGCAGUGCGUCAUGCGCUCAUUCACCUGUGGCCAAACUUAUUUUGCCCCCCUUUGGAUUUAAUCAGCAGGAGUUGUCGAAUCUGAUGCGCGC
ensembl:lncRNA